UGGGGAAUAUUGCACAAUGGGCGCAAGCCUGAUGCAGCCAUGCCGCGUGUAUGAAGAAGGCCUUCGGGUUGUAAAGUACUUUCAGCGGGGAGGAAGGGAGUAAAGUUAAUACAUUUGGUCAUUGACGUUACCCGCAGAAGAAGCACCGGCUAACUCCGUGCCAGCAGCCGCGGUAAUACGGAGGGUGCAAGAGUUAAGCGGAAUUACUGGGCGUAAAGCGCACGCAGGCGGUUUGUUAAGUCAGAUGUGAAAUCCCCGGGCUCAACCUGGGAACUGAAUCUGAUACUGGCAAGCUUGAGUCUCGUAGAGGGGGGUAGAAUUCCAGGUGUAGCGGUGAAAUGCGUAGAGAUCUGGAGGAAUACCGGUGGCGAAGGCGGCCCCCUGGACGAAGACUGACGCUCAGGUGCGAAAGAGUGGGGAGCAAACAGG
rnacentral:rRNA from 1 species